rnacentral:rRNA from 1 species
AAAAGCCCAGCACCGAAGCCUGUGGCCGUUUGGUCUCUAGGCAAUGUGGUGUUCAGGUCAGCUCGCAGAGAUACUGCUCCACCCUAAGUCCUGUAAUGAGUAAGGUUACUGGAGCGGCCCACAGAGGGUGAAAGGCCCGUGGGGGUGGAGAUGCAGAUGAGUCAGUGUCUCUAUGAGUGGACCUUGGAGUCGGGUUGUUUGUGAAUGCAGCCCAAAGUGGGUGGUAAACUCCAUCCAAGGCUAAAUACUGGCACGAGUCCGAUAGCGAACAAGUACCGUGAGGGAAAGUUGAAAAGUACUUUGAAGAGAGAGUAAACAGUGCGUGAAACCGCUCAAAGGUAAACGGGUGGAGUUGAACUGCAAGCUCCGGGAAUUCAACUGGUGAGUGUGAUGUGAGCUUGGCACAUAGUUGUACAUCUGGGUCUGCUUAGCUGCAGGUCUCCGCCUCUGGUGGGGAUGCGCGAAUCACUUAUCAUGUGUUGUGCGCCCGGGCUGUGUCGAACUGGCUCGCCAGUGCACUUUCUCGGAGUAGUCACCACGACCGGCGUUGCUGCCUUGCUGUUGCGGUUAAACCGGCCUUGUAGGGUCCCUGUGGCCUUGCUUGGUCGGGAUGGCAGGUAGCCCGUUGUGUACUUUUGUGCGCCUCGGGUGUAAUAGCUGACUGCAUCGGUUUUGUGCGGUACGUCGGAGACGGCGGCUUGUUGUGCGUGCGUGCGUACCUUGUGCGCUGGCGGCGCUGGGUCCGGUUGCCAUGUUGCUUGUGAAUGCAGGCCUGGUGAUGGCUCGGUGUUGUUCGGUGUGCGGAUGCGUGUGUGGCACUUAAAAGGGCCAAUAGUCUGUGGUGUAGUGGUAGACUAUCCACCUGACCCGUCUUGAAACACGGACCAAGGAGAGUAACAUGUGCGCGAGUCAUU